UACAGAGGUCCCGAGCGUUUGUUCGGAUUCACUGGGCGUAAAGGGUGCGCAGGUGGUCGGGUAAGUCUGAUGUGAAAUCCCGCAGCUUAACUGCGGAAUGGCAUUGGAUACUAUUCGGCUAGGGGGUUGGAGGGGGGACUGGAAUUCUCGGUGUAGCAGUGAAAUGCGUAGAUAUCGAGAGGAACACCAGUGGCGAAGGCGAGUCCCUGGACAACUCCUGACGCUGAGGCACGAAAGCUAGGGGAGCAAACAGG
rnacentral:rRNA from 1 species